AAAAAGCUCGUAGUUGGAUUUCGGAACCGGCCGAUUGGUCCGUCCUCUGGAUCGUGUACUGAUCGGUCUGUUCUUCUUCGCGAAGACCGCGUGUGCUCUUAACUGAGUGGGCGUGGGAUUCGCGACGUUUACUUUGAAAAAAUUAGAGUGUUCAAAGCAGGCAGUCGCUUGAAUAUCUCAGCAUGGAAUAAUAGAAUAGGACUUUGGUCUUAUUUUGUUGGUUUCCGAGACCGAAGUAAUGAUUAAUAGGGACAGUUGGGGGCAUUCGUAUUUCAUUGUCAGAGGUGAAAUUCUUGGAUUUAUGAAAGACGAACUUCUGCGAAAGCAUUUGCCAAGGAUGUUUUCAUUAAUCAAGAACGAAAGUUGGAGGCUCGAAGACGAUCAGAUACCGUCCUAGUUCCCAACCAUAAGCGAUGCCGUCUGCGGAUCGGAGGUCGCCCAUGUAAGGCUCCUUCGGCACGCUAUGAGAAAUCAAAGAC
rnacentral:rRNA from 1 species